GCGGGACCCAAAGCAGUUGGCUCAUGCAGAGGGUGAAAAACGCAUUCUUGAAAGAGAGGAAGCUGGGAAGUAAAUCCAACACAGACGUGGAUGUUAAUAAAUAAACAGCAAACAAAUUUCACUGGCGCUGGUGUGAGCCCCGGGCCUGACUUCCACUUUCUGGUCCCGUCAGAGGGUGUCAGAGCAUUAGCCCCACCAAAUGGUCAUCAUCCACCCUGGAUUCGAGGAUUCAUUUUCAAGGCAAACCACCAAGACAGCUAUUUAUCAUCAUGGAGACUCAAAGAAAUCCAGAAAACAGACAAGUGCCAGACCUAUGCGUGUUUAUGGGGAGCAGUGCCCAGAGAAGGUUACCCCAACAGUAAAUAAGACUGCCUAGUGAGACAACUUGCUGGGUCACACAUGGGAGGAAGUCAAAACUGCCGUCUAACUUGGGUGUCGCCUGAUAAGGGAAAGGUUUUUUCACCAGGUCCAUGCUUGUUUGGAAAGCAAUGAGAAAGCAAGGUGAAUUUCAAGCUGGAAAGAAGGGAUAUGAAGAGCUGAACCCUGGACUCCGAAACCCACAGCCAUACACAUUC